ACAGCAGUCGCCACGGUAAUACGGAGGGGGCUAGCGUUGUUCGGAAUUACUGGGCGUAAAGCGCACGUAGGCGGCUUGGUAAGUUAGAGGUGAAAGCCUGGAGCUCAACUCCAGAAUUGCCUUUAAGACUGCCGAGCUAGCAGGUGAGAGAGGUAAGUGGAAUUCCGAGUGUAGAGGUGAAAUUCGUAGAUAUUCGGAAGAACACCAGUGGCGAAGGCGGCUUACUGGCUCAUACUGGACGCUGAGGUGCGAAAGCGUGGGGAGCAAACAGGAUUAGAUACCCCAGUAGUCCCUGUCUCUUAUAC
rnacentral:rRNA from 1 species